UCCGGUUUGUCACCGGCAGUCUCCCUAGAGUGCCCUUGCGUAGCAACUAGGGACAAGGGUUGCGCUCGUUGCGGGACUUAACCCAACACCUCACGGCACGAGCUGACGACAGCCAUGCACCACCUGCGCAGAAGUCCCUUGCGGGAGGUUCUGGCUUUCGCCAAAAUUUCCUCUGCAUGUCAAACCCAGGUAAGGUGGGGAUGACGUGUCCUUGAUAGG
rnacentral:misc_RNA from 1 species